rnacentral:rRNA from 1 species
GAUGAACGCUGGCGGCGUGCCUAAUACAUGCAAGUCGAACGAAACUUCUUUAUCACCGAGUGCUUGCACUCACCGAUAAAGAGUUGAGUGGCGAACGGGUGAGUAACACGUGGGCAACCUGCCCAAAAGAGGGGGAUAACACUUGGAAACAGGUGCUAAUACCGCAUAACCAUAGUUACCGCAUGGUAACUAUGUAAAAGGUGGCUAUACUACCGCUUUUGGAUGGGCCCGCGGCGCAUUAGCUAGUUGGUAGGGUAAAGGCUUACCAAGGCAAUGAUGCGUAGCCGAAUUGAGAGGUUGAUCGGCCACAUUGGGACUGAGACACGGCCCAAACUCCUACGGGAGGCAGCAGUAGGGAAUCUUCCACAAUGGGCGAAAGCCUGAUGGAGCAACGCCGCGUGGGUGAAGAAGGUCUUCGAAUCGUAAAACCCUGUUGUUAGAGAAGAAAGUGCGUGAGAGUAACUGUUCACGUUUCGACGGUAUCUAACCGGAAAGCCACGGCUAACUACGUG